CAGCAGCCGCGGUAAUACAGAGGGUGCGAGCGUUAAUCGGAUUUACUGGGCGUAAAGCGUGCGUAGGCGGCUUCUUAAGUCGGAUGUGAAAUCCCUGAGCUUAACUUAGGAAUUGCAUUCGAUACUGGGAAGAUAGAGUAUGGGAGAGGAUGGUAGAAUUCCAGGUGUAGCGGUGAAAUGCGUAGAGAUCUGGAGGAAUACCGAUGGCGAAGGCAGCCAUCUGGCCUAAUACUGACGCUGAGGUACGAAAGCAUGGGGAGCAAACAGGAUUAGAUACCCGGGUAGUCCCUGUCUCUUAUAC
rnacentral:rRNA from 1 species